rnacentral:rRNA from 1 species
GAUGAACGCUGGCGGCGUGCCUAAUACAUGCAAGUCGAGCGAAUGGAUUAAGAGCUUGCUCUUAUGAAGUUGGCGGCGGACGGGUGAGUAACACGUGGGUAACCUGCCCAUAAGACUGGGAUAACUCCGGGAAACCGGGGCUAAUACCGGAUAACAUUUUGAAACGCAUGGUUCGAAAUUGAAAGGCGGCUUCGGCUGUCACUUAUGGAUGGACCCGCGUCGCAUUAGCUAGUUGGUGAGGUAACGGCUCACCAAGGCAACGAUGCGUAGCCGACCUGAGAGGGUGAUCGGCCACACUGGGACUGAGACACGGCCCAGACUCCUACGGGAGGCAGCAGUAGGGAAUCUUCCGCAAUGGACGAAAGUCUGACGGAGCAACGCCGCGUGAGUGAUGAAGGCUUUCGGGUCGUAAAACUCUGUUGUUAGGGAAGAACAAGUGCUAGUUGAAUAAGCUGGCACCUUGACGGUACCUAACCAGAAAGCCACGGCUAACUACGUGCCAGCAGCCGCGGUAA